rnacentral:rRNA from 1 species
GCUAGUCUAACCGCAAGGAGGACGGUCACCACGGUAGGAUUCAUGACUGGGGUGAAGUCGUAACAAGGUAGCCGUAUCGGAAGGUGCGGCUGGAUCACCUCCUUUC